UCCCUGGAGGUCCAAUGGUUAGGACUCUGCACUUUCACUACCGAGGGCCCAGGUUCAAUCCCUGGUCAGGGAA
rfam:TPA: Bos taurus chromosome X, whole genome shotgun sequence.